ACUCCUACGGGAGGCAGCAGUCGAGAAUAAUUCACAAUGGGGGCAACCCUGAUGGUGCAACGCCGCGUGGAGGAUGAAGGUCUUCGGAUUGUAAACUCCUGUCAUCCGGGAGUAAGACCUGGCGGUUAACAGCCGACAGGGUUGAUAGUACCGGAAGAGGAAGGGACGGCUAACUUCGUGCCAGCAGCCGCGGUAAUACGAAGGUCCCGAGCGUUGUUCGGAAUCACUGGGCGUAAAGGGAGCGUAGGCGGUGCGGUAAGUCAGAUGUGAAAUCCCGGGGCUCAACCCCGGAACUGCAUCCGAUACUGCCGUGCUAGAGCAAUGGAGGGGUAGCCGGAAUUCUCGGUGUAGCAGUGAAAUGCGUGGAUAUCGAGAGGAACACUCGUGGCGAAGGCGGGCUACUGGACAUUUGCUGACGCUGAGGCUCGAAGGCCGGGGGAGCGAAAGGGAUUAGAUACCCUGGUAGGCUCU
rnacentral:rRNA from 1 species